CGGGCCGCUGGGGAAGAGGCGGCGGAAAAGCCGGGGAGGGCAACGGCGGUGGCGGACAGCCGAAAGGAGUAGGAGGCGGUGGCUGCGGGGGCGGCGGGCCCGGGCGACCCGGGUUGAAGAAGGGCGGUAAAGCCAUAUUCACGGACGGAGAUGCUGAGAAUUGACAGGAAUUCCAGCGGUUCUCAGUGAGUCUUCCGGGCGGAAGUGACGUCUUGCGAUGCGCGACUCCUUACGACACGUCCCUCCAAGAAGCGCAGUGUAAGGGCGGGCGUUGAUUGCAUUCUCACUCUUUCAAAUAAAAAAAUACUCUUCUAAGUAUUCUUGAUGCGUAGCUAUGAGCUCCGUGCAAGUGAGACAACGAGGCAGUCUAUUCCUGGAAUUGUCUAGUAAAAGAAAACCCAUUAAUCAUGCAACAAAUGUCGAAGUGUAAUGAUGAUAUUCGACUUGGUCAGAGUUUUAAAGUUCCGUCCUAAGGAUUUGAGGCUUCUGUUGCGAUCUGAAGGACAAACAGGAGUUAUAUGGAAGAGACAGAAGCAUGGUCCAGAUGGGAACAGCAUGUGCUAUUGGAUAGGAGUAUAACUAGUGGUGGUGGGGGACCAAAGGGAAGUAAAGGAAUGCCCGUGUGUGUGGAGCAAAGACCUGAGGGUGUCACCGUAAGAGGGUUCGAGGAGACGUUUACUUAGACCUUCAAGGCUCUUGACACACUGCAGAAGAGAAUUUAAGAAAGCAUCAAGUUUUAGAACAUAUGAAGGUGUUUAUUAGAAAGUGAAAGGGGAACCUCGUGAUCUUGGGGAAGUGGACAGAAGUUAUAAAAUCCAGAGGAAACAAUGGUGAAGGGAAAACCAUGCCAUUUGAAGACAAUUGCAAAUUAAAAUGCAACUGUAAGAAGAAAUACAGGGAGAUCCUGUGUACUUUCCCCUAAUGAUAACAUCUUGCAGAAUUGCAGAUUACAUAUUACAAUUACGUAUUACAACCAGUAUAUUAACAAUUGCUACAGUCAAGAUACAGAAUGUUUCUGUCCCUGCUAGGAUUCCUCAUUUGUCCUUUAAUAGUCACUCCAUUUUUUUCCCCCUUAACCCACCUUCUCCUCAAUCCUUGGAAACCAUUAAUCUAUUCUGUAUUUCUAUAAAUUUUGUUCUGACAAGAAUGUUAUGUAUUUAUAUGUGGAAUCAUAUAGUGUAUAACCAUUUGGGAUUUACUUUUUUCAUUGUGCACAAUCCUCUGGGGGAACAAAGUGUUUAAAAGUAUACAGAUCACUGUAAAUAUAUGAAGCACUAUGGUAAAUACUCAUUAUAGUGAACAAAACAAGUUUGGUCUUCACCCUAGUGGGAAUUAUGGUGUAGUUGGAAAGAUAAGUGAAAAGGCUUGGGAGAUUUGCUAUAGGAUAAGGAAUUCUCAGCAAUAUUUUGAUGUUUCUAGGAAUAAUUCACAAGGAAGAAAACAGUUAAUGUAAUAAAAGAACUGGAGGCUUUGAGAAAUGA